rnacentral:rRNA from 1 species
CACAAGCGGUGGAGCAUGUGGUUUAAUUCGAUGCAACGCGAAGAACCUUACCUGGUCUUGACAUCCACGGAAGUUUUCAGAGAUGAGAAUGUGCCUUCGGGAACCGUGAGACAGGUGCUGCAUGGCUGUCGUCAGCUCGUGUUGUGAAAUGUUGGGUUAAGUCCCGCAACGAGCGCAACCCUUAUCCUUUGUUGCCAGCGGUCCGGCCGGGAACUCAAAGGAGACUGCCAGUGAUAAACUGGAGGAAGGUGGGGAUGACGUCAAGUCAUCAUGGCCCUUACGACCAGGGCUACACACGUGCUACAAUGGCGCAUACAAAGAGAAGCGACCUCGCGAGAGCAAGCGGACCUCAUAAAGUGCGUCGUAGUCCGGAUUGGAGUCUGCAACUCGACUCCAUGAAGUCGGAAUCGCUAGUAAUCGUGGAUCAGAAUGCCACGGUCGAAUACGUUCCCGGGCCUU